rnacentral:misc_RNA from 1 species
CCCUUAGGCAAAAACGCUCCUAAAAUUGACACACCUGAACUCAUUUGUACACCUGAAUCUAUUUAUAGUCUCUCUCCAACUUUGACAGACAUUCUUUCAGUUGAAAGCUAAGCUUAGAUAUUUCUGAGAGUAACUUACAUUGUCUCGUGAUGUUAAUGACUGAUAUGUUACAGGAGUGACCGGAUUCCUAAGCAGUUGUUGGAGAUCAUAACAAAGCUUAGAGGCUUCCUGAUUACUAGCACAAGCUUCAGCAACAAGUUGAAUCAGCAUACAGCCUUGCUCUUCAGGUAAGGAUU